ncrna:unclassified sequences S10-Clostridia ribosomal protein leader
UGAUAGCGUAGAAGCGUGAGGUUGCUGCAUUGAUUGCAGGUGUUCCGUGGAGCGAAUGUCAAGUUAGGAAACUGGCGACAA